GGCAUACAUGGCUGUGUUCCUUCACUUCUGUAUGUAACGGGAAGCUAACAGCACUGGUCUUCUGGGAAGUUCUCGGAGACACAACAGCUUGUGAGCUGCUUCAUUGCUCAGAUACUUCAUCACGACUCUGGUCAUUGCAUGAGAGGAUCACUCUUGAUCCUAGCGUCUACCUCCCGAGAACGGGGAUUACAGAUGUGAACACCAGAGCUGGCCGACUGAAUCUACAGAUGUGGACACCAGAGCUGGCCGACUGAAUCUACAGAUGUGGACACCAGAGCUGGCCGACUGAAUCUCCUUUUGUGCAGCUGAAAGAACACUUUGGGGUCUCUUUUCUUCACUCGUGCAUACAGUGUGAGCUCCUGGUUCUCGUGUCCGAAACUGAAGCAGGCAGGUAGAGGCAGAUGGAUCAGGAGUUCAAGGCCAGCCUGGGCUCCAUAGACUCUGUCAAUAAUAAUGAUACCAGCACCAAUAACAGUAAUAAAUAAAACGUGAA